UACGUAGGGUGCAAGCGUUAAUCGGAAUUACUGGGCGUAAAGCGUGCGCAGGCGGUGAUGUAAGACAGAUGUGAAAUCCCCGGGCUCAACCUGGGAACUGCAUUUGUGACUGCAUCGCUGGAGUGCGGCAGAGGGGGAUGGAAUUCCGCGUGUAGCAGUGAAAUGCGUAGAUAUGCGGAGGAACACCGAUGGCGAAGGCAAUCCCCUGGGCCUGCACUGACGCUCAUGCACGAAAGCGUGGGAGC
rnacentral:rRNA from 1 species